rnacentral:rRNA from 1 species
UACAGAGGGGGCAAGCGUUGUUCGGAAUUACUGGGCGUAAAGGGCGCGUAGGCGGCCGCCUAAGUCAGACGUGAAAUCCCUCGGCUCAACCGGGGAACUGCGUCUGAUACUGGGUGGCUUGAAUCCGGGAGAGGGAUGCGGAAUUCCAGGUGUAGCGGUGAAAUGCGUAGAUAUCAGGAGGAACACCAGUGGCGAAGGCGACACGCUGGGCCAUACCUGACGCUAAAGCGCGACAGCAUGGGGAGCAAACGGG